CCGGACUCCUAUGGGAGUCGGGCUCCAUCCACGACUUCUGCAGCAAGGGUUAAUGGUGGCGAAACCCGACCGCCUAACAAGAUCAGAUGAAAGGAAAAAGCCCCCUCCCAACGACGUCUACAUCAGACAAGUCAAAUGACAAGAAAGAUUCAGCAGACAACAAUAUUAGUGCAACGCGCGGACGAGGUAACACAAAAUGCCCUUUUUAUUCCAUUUUCGAUAUACACACUACAAGGCCAAGAAGGCCA
rnacentral:lncRNA from 1 species